ensembl:lncRNA
GGGGAGUAUUUGAAUGUGAGUCUGUGCCAUUUCUUAAAGUCUGUCUCCCCACCUGUGACUAAAUGAACUCACCUGUAGCUUUGCGAGGAUGAAAAGGUUUAACACUCUGGAGCCAAUCAGGAAACAGACAUCACACAGUGUUCAAAACAGGGGUAGUUUAAUAUAAAUAAUUAUCAAACCCUGAUUAAAAAGUAACUAUAGAAUGUAAGACAUUCUCUGUGGUUCAGACCUCACUGGAGAAAGGGUAGUUGAACCCACUGGGUGGCUGUGCUGGUUUUUGGACCAGAGCUUCUCUGCAGUUCUGGGACAAGCAGGCAUCAGCCCUCCUCCGGAGCACAGGUGGGCCAGGCAAGCCGCAGGUGGUGGCCGCAGUGGUCGCGCAGCGGUAGUGGGGCGCAGGUGCAGCAGAAGGCCCGGAGCGCGACGACCCUGUCGGGGGGACCACUGCUUCCCUAAGAUUGCGGGAGACACACCUAGGGGAAGAGGGACGAGCAGAGGCAGCACAACAGAGGUGCAGCAGGAAGCUUCGGUCCCGGAGUCCCUGCCGCAAGGGCUGCAGGGGGUUGGUGGCGAGGUCAGGGCGCGACGGCAAGCUCCCGGAUUCGCGGCCAGAUUGUGUGUUCCAACCGCGGUGCCUCCAGAUGUUCUCAUCCGCCAGGCCGACCCCCGAGAGGGCCUCCCGAAACUGCAGGAGCCCCCUUUUUCUUUCUAGACCUCUAGACCUUUCUAGAGGUCUCUCUAGCGCCCUCUACUGAAAAAGCUUUGCAUCGUGCUCACUCGAAAAACGCUGAAAGGAAUUCUGUGGUUUAUCACAGAGCAUGCUUCGAAGGGUAAAUUGGGAGCUAAGAGUCCUUUGAUGCCCUGGCACAGUAGGUGUGUCCGCAUCGUCGUGUGCACGAGAGAGUCUCACUCUAUUGCCAGGAUACAGUCCAGUGUUGCAAUCAUGGCCCUCUGCAGCCUCCAACUCCUGGGCUCAAGCUGUUGUCCUAUCUCAGCCUCUCAAGUAGCUGGGACUGCCGGUAUACACCACCAUGCCCAGAUAAGAUUUAUUUAUAUUUUUGUAGAGAUGAGGCCUUGCUAUGUUUCCCAGACUAAUCCUCCUGCCUUGUCCUCCCAAAGUGCUGGGAUUAAAGGUGAGCCAGUGCACCUGGCCUAUGUUUAACAUUUUGAGCAACUUUUCAAAUUGUUUUCCAAAUUGACUACGGCAUUGUACAUUCCCACUAGCAAGAUAUGGAUUCUAGUUUCUUUGUAUCUUCAGCAACACUUGUUAAUACAGUUGACCCUUGAACAAUGUGGUGGUUGGGGGCGCCACCCCCUGUGCAGUUGAAAAUUCACAUGUAACUUUUGACUCCCUUGGAACUUAACUACUAAAAACCUACUCUUGACCAAAAGCCUUGCCAUUUACACAGUCGAUUAACACGUAUUUUAUAUGUAUUAUAUAUUCUUACAAUAAAGUAAACUAGAGAAGUGAAAAUGUUAUAUAAAAAAAUCAUAAGGAAGAGAGAAUAUAUUUACUACUCAUUAAGUGGAAGUAGAUCACCAUAAAGAUCUCCAUCCUCACUGUCUUCAUGUUGAAUGGGCUGAGGAGCGGGAGAAGGAGGAAGGAUUGAUCUUACUGUCUCAGGUAUAGCAGAUGUGGUAGAAAAUCCAUAUAUAAGUGUACUCACACAGCUCAAGCCUGUGUUGUUCGAGGCUCAACUGUAUAUGUCUUCUUUAUUAUAGCCAUCCCAGUGGAUGUGAAGUGGCAUCUCAAGGAAAAUGUUUAGAAUAUUUUGUUAUUGAUGGAAGUGAUAAAGAUACAACAUACCAAACCUUCUAAGGUAUAGUUGAAGUAGUGCUUAGAGAGACAUUUAUAGCUAUAAACGACUACAUAUGUUUUAAAAGACGAAGAUCUCAAACUAAUCAUUCACCUUAAGAAACUAGAUAAAUAAGAAAAUAUAAAACCAAAACAAGCAGAAGGAAGGAAAUAAUAAGGAUUAGAUAAUAAAAAUAGAUAAUAAAGAAUAGAGAAUGAAGUAAAUGAAACAGAGAAUAGAAAAACAAUAGAGAAAAUAAUCAAAAUCAAAAUUGUUCCUGUGAAAAGACCAACAGAGGUAACAACCCUUUAGCUAAAAUGAACGAGAAAAGAGAAUACUCAAAAUAUUAAAAUCAGGAAUAAAAGGAGAGUAGUACAGAACUUAUAGAAAUAAAGGAUUUUAAGGGCAUAGUAUGAAUAAGAAGUUUAUAUCAACAAAUUGGGAAACUUAAAAUAACACCAAUUGUUGAAACAAACUCACAGAGAAAUAAAAAUAUCUGAAUUGACAUGUAACAAGUAAAGUGAUUGAUUUAAUUUUAAAAACUUUCCACAUAAAAAAGAUCAGGUCCUGAGAUCUUUCAUGGUGACUUCUACCAAAUAUUUAAAUAUUUAAGAAUUUAUCAAUUCUUCACAAACUCCUCCAAAAUAUGGAGGAGGAAGAAAUGCUUCCCAAUUGAUUCUAUAAGGUCAGUAUUACCCUAGUACCAAAAUCAAAAAUGUUACAAAAAUAAAAUUUCAGAACAAUAUGUGUUAUGAAUAUAGACACAAAAAUAUAAACAACACAAAUCCAGCAACAUACAGGAAUGGACACACCAUGGCAAAGUGGGAUACAUCCCAGGAAUGCAAGGCUGGUCCCACAUAUGAAAAUCUAUCAAUAAAAUACAAAGGAUUAAUACAAUAAAGGACAAAAACCACAUACAGAAAAUGCAUUUGACAAAAUCCAACACCUGAUCAUGAUGAAAAAAAAAUCUUGGCAAACUAGGAAUAGGUAGGUAAGCUUUUUGCAUACUACAUGACAGAAGGUGACUGAUGCCUUGAAUUCCUACUUAGAAGACAGCAAUUUUAAGAGAAGGAAUAUUGUCAGUUUUCAAGUUUGUUUUUGAAAAAUCAACUUCUAUCUAUAUUUUCCCCAAGUACAAUUAUUUUGGUGUUUCCAGAGUUAACAUUACCUUAGCAAUUAAAAUUUUUCUGAUCAAAGCUGUGAUUUUGCUAUUUUUAAUGUUUCAAAUAAAAAGGAAGGUCAAAACCUGCUUAGGACCUAAAUAACAGAAAGAUCCAGGAUAAAGAUUUUUAAACUAAUAUAAUUCUAAUAAGAGGCUUUUCUUAAAAGACUAAGAUACCUACCUAAGUGAAAAUUAAAUCACCUUUCUGCUUCCAGGAAUCCUCUUUCAAUACUAUUGUAGAGUUAAUAGCCUCUUUACUCAAGAGAAGUCCUAAAACUUACGUGGGAAUCAAUCUUCUGAUGUGGCAUAAACGAAAAAAAUCCUUAUUUUCUCCCAAGAUUAGAGCAAAACAAACAAAUCAACAGUCAGCAAGAUUCAAUAAUCCUUCUAAGGUUCUGCACCUUAGAAGUUAUCCAAGAAAAUAUAAUUAAAAUUGUAAGAACUUCAUAGAUCAGACUAUCAGAAAAAUGUUCUGUCCUCUUCUAUCACAUAUAUAUGUUUGUAUAUAUUUUCAAAUUUUAAAAUGUGAAUUUAAUGAGAAUCUGAAUCUUUCUUUCUGUGGUUACAGAGCUUCCUUAGAGGCAUUAUUUCAUUUGAAGGCUUAUCCCUUAAAAAGAAAUGCAUGAUGAUAGUGAAGGAUACUUAGAAUUUAUUUAUUUAUUCAACAAAUUCUUAUCACAAGCCUGCUUUAUGAUAUGUAGUAGGGAGCCAACAGUGAACAGAACAGACAAGGAUCCUUUCUAAUAGAACUAAUAUUCUCAUGAAAAAUUCAACUUCUAAAACUUGUUGGAAAAAAACUUCUAAAACAGUGGAAAAUAAACCAUGAUUGUCAUUGAAAGUCUUUUUCAACAAGGCAGUAAUCUCAAAAUCUGUCUUAAAAGGCAUUACAGAAUCUCUCUUGGUGCUUUAAAUUGUUUCACCAAGCAGGUUAUUCUAUUGUUUAAAAUGUUACCAAUGAAAGAAGAAUUGUAAUCAAAAUGGAUUAUGUUUUACUGAUGAAUCUAUGUGGAUUUUUGUAUUAUUAACAAGUAAAACCCUAGUCUCAGACAAAAGAUGAACUGGAAGAUGGUUGUGUAAUGGGGCAGAUGUUCAUAGGGACAUGCAUGCCUAGUUCUAGUACUGAGAUUGUUACGAGCAACAGUCAUAGUAUUUUACAGAAGAAUGGCAAGUACUUAUUAACAAGCUAGUCAGUCAAGUAAAAGUCAUUUAAAAAUUUUUCUACUGUACAUUUGAAUUCCAUUUCAUUCUUUGAGCCAUGAUUGAUAUAUAUGGCCUUUGAUAGGGCACUGUGCUUGUAUCACACAAUCUGAGUAAGAAGCAGAAAAGACCUGUGGAAACUUGCUGUCUUGCUGCUUAUCAUUUUCCGUAAUGUUUCAAAAUAAUACAAUAAUCACAGUUUGCCAAUUCCUUUUACAUAUAUUGUCUUCUUGAAGUUCUUUCCUGCCUUCUAGCAGGGAGUAUAACAUAAUUAUAAACCACAUGGCAAAUCCAUGGUAGUUUCCAGUCUCUAACUCCUUCUAUUGUACUACCUUGACAAUUUUUUUUUUCUGAUCCUCCUUAUCAAAAUGAUUAUAGUAAAUAUAUCUUCUGCAUAUUAUUUGUGAGUUUCAAAUGAAAUGACAUUUAUAACAUUUAAGUGCUUGACACAUAUAAGCUCUUAUUAUUAACAUUCAGAAAAACAAAUAAAGCAAGAAAAAAGUGUAGAGUGAAAGUAUCUUAAAAAUUAAAGUCACAUCUACAUGUAACAUGUAGAUAGUUUCCAGAAAACAAGUAUAUAUUAAGGAUAUUAUAUUCUGAGAAAUACAUGUAGAUGCUGUGUUUAAAAAGUUUCUAAAUUUUUAUUUCUUAUCUAGGAACUAAUUCCAACUUUUUAACUUACUGGCCCAUCAAAUAUCACUUGAUAAAUGUUUAUCUAGUAAAUAUUAGAACACUAUUUCACAUCUUUAGGUUUGCAGGUAGUAUUUUACCCAUUUAAGUAACUUUGUUGAAGCAAUGUGUGUUUCAAUUUGCAGCAAAUAGAUCUUAUAUAGCUUAUCACUUUCUAUUGCAAAGAAAUUAUGCAAAUACUUUUUUUUUUUUUUUUGAAAAGUUAAUAGGUUUUUGGGGAAGAGUGUUCCUUGGUUACAUGAAUAAGUUCUUUAGUGGUGAUUCCUGAGAUUUUGGUGAAUCCAUCACCUAAGCAGUGUACACUGUACCCAAUGUGUAGUAUUUUAUCCCUCACCCCCCUCCCACCGUUUUCCCCAAGUCCCCAAAGUCCAUUGUAUCUUGCUUAUGCCUUUGCAUCCCCAUAGCUUAACUCUCAUUUAUAAGUGAGAACACACAAUGUUUGGUUUUCCAUUCCUGAGUUACUUCACUUAGAAUAAUGAUCUCCAGUUCCAUCCUAGCUGUUGCAAAUGCCAUUAUUUCGUUCCUAUUUAUGGCUAAGUAGUAUUCCAUGGUAUGUAUAUAUACAUAUACCACAGUUUCUUUAUCCAGUUGUUCAUUAAUGGGCAUUUGGGCUGGUUCCAUGUUUUUGCAAUUGUGAAUUGUGUUGCUAUAAACACGAGUGUGCAAGGAUCUUAUUCAUAUAAUAACUUCUUUUCCUUUGGGUAGAUACCCAGUAGUGGGAUUGCUGGAUCAAAUGGUAGUUCUACUUUUAGUUCUUUAAGGAAUCUCUAUAGUUUUGCAUUGUGGUUGUACUAGUUUACAUUCCCACCAGCAAUGUAAAAGUGUUCCCUUUUCACUGCAUCCUCACCAACAUCUAUUAUUUUUUGAUAUUUUGAUAAUGGUCAUUCUUGCAGGAAUAAGAUGGUAUUGCAUUGUGGUUUUGAUUUGCAUUUCCCUGAUCAUUAGCGAUGUUGAACAUUUUUUCAUAUGUUUAUUGAUCAUUUGUAUAUCUUUUUUGGAGAAU